rnacentral:rRNA from 1 species
UACGAAGGGGACUAGCGUUGCUCGGAAUCACUGGGCGUAAAGCGCACGUAGGCGGAUUGUUAAGUCAGGGGUGAAAUCCUGGAGCUCAACUCCAGAACUGCCUUUGAUACUGGCGAUCUCGAGUCCGGGAGAGGUGAGUGGAACUGCGAGUGUAGAGGUGAAAUUCGUAGAUAUUCGCAAGAACACCAGUGGCGAAGGCGGCUCACUGGCCCGGUACUGACGCUGAGGUGCGAAAAGCGUGGGGAGCAAACAGGG